UUAGGUUUAAAGUGGUUUGAUUCUAGCCAAAUAGAAUAGGUUAGUUUUGAUUUUACAUGUAAGUUUUUGCGAGUUAGCAAUUAAACUCUAGAUGGGGUUAAUUGUAGUUGAAUUCUCAGUUUUUAAUAUUAGUGUUUAAUAUAUAUUAUACCUAGUUAUUGACUAUUAUGAUUAGCUAAGAGUGUGCCAGCAGCUGCGGUUACACAUUUGAUCAAAAUUAUUCUCUUUUAAUUGUAAUUAUUUAUUUAUUUAAGGUUUCAAUUAAUUAUUUUUUGAGUGGAAUCUAAAAUAGUUUUUAACCUUGGUUAAAGAUUUUAUGAUAUUUUUAUUUAAACUAGGAUUAGAUACCCUAUUAUUUUAAAUGUAAAAUGAAUUAGUAUUAAUAGAUAUGGUCUUUAAAUUAAAAGAAUUUGACGGUAAUUUAAUCUUUUCAGAGGAGCCUGUAAUAUAAUCGAUAACCCACGAUAAAAUCUACCAUAAAUAAGGGUUUGUAUAUCUCUGUCUUAAGAAUGUUUUAUUAGAAUUUUUAUUUUCAUAAAUUUAUUAUAAAUCUAAGUCAGGUCAAGGUGCAGCUUUUUAUGGUUACUUAUGGGCUACUUUUAUUUAUAAUUUUGGAUUAAAUAGUUGUAUAUAUUACUUUUAUGAAAUUGGAUUUGAUUGUAAUAUAUAAAAUAUAUUAUAUAUGAUAUUUGCCCUGGAUUAAGUACAUAUCGCCCGUCACUCUUGUUAUUAAAACAAGAUAAGUCGUAACAAAGUAGGCUUAUCGGAAGAUGAGCCUGGAAUUAAUU
rnacentral:ncRNA from 1 species